rnacentral:miRNA from 1 species
UUCACAAGGAGCUGUCAUUCA